GAUCAUGGCUCAGGAUGAACGCUGGCGGCGUGCCUAACACAUGCAAGUCGAACGAAGCACAUACGACGGAACUCUUCGGAGGGAAGAUGUAUGUGACUGAGUGGCGGACGGGUGAGUAACGCGUGGGUAACCUGCCCUAUACAGGGGGACAACAGUUGGAAACGACUGCUAAUACCGCAUAAGCGCACAGUACCGCAUGGUACAGAGCGAAAAAACUCCGGUGGUAUAGGAUGGGCCCGCGUCUGAUUAGUUAGUUGGCGGUGUAACGGACCACCAAGACGACGAUCAGUAGCCGGCUUGAGAGAGUGAACGGCCACAUUGGGACUGAGACACGGCCCAAACUCCUACGGGAGGCAGCAGUGGGGAAUAUUGCACAAUGGGGGAAACCCUGAUGCAGCAACGCCGCGUGAGUGAAGAAGUAUUUCGGUAUGUAAAGCUCUAUCAGCAGGGAAGAAAAUGACGGUACCUGACUAAGAAGCCCCGGCUAACUACGUG
rnacentral:rRNA from 1 species